CCUCGCAAACCAUAAGAUAUAAUCUUUAUUCGGUGGUUUAGUGAGGUAUACGGCUGGCGUAUAUGGAGUGACCUAUACAACACCAAACAUCAAACUCCACUUUUGUAUUCUUAAGUACGAAGUGGGUAUUGUGCGAUGGUGUGGGUAAAUCUCGCCUGCAGACUUGUUCCUACGGUUUAUAUCGAUGAUGGAGACAGGUUUGAGAGUGAGGGACAUCGAUUCUACGUAUAUUAUGUAUACGCAGUGAGCUGUUUUUAAACAAUUUAUUUCCUUCAUUGCAAACGGGAAUCGCUCCCCAAAUUCAGUUACUAAGAAUUUCUGAUUGAAAGAAAUAGGUUUCUAGAUAAACGAAAAAGUUUUGAUUUUGUAUAUGUAAAUACUAGCAUCGAGGGAUGAGAGCAAUGAGAGGAAAGGAUUAAAACUUGCGCGCUCGGCAAAAAUACAAAUACAAAAGCUCUGUGGCUAGAAAAAGGACAUAUCAAAGGCAUAGGAAAUACAAAUCCAGAAAUAAAAACCAGCUAAAAACCUAAGAAAGAAGAAAGAAAGCCUCCACCCUCAACAGAUCUAAGACAACGAAUAUCUCAUGGUGAUAUCAAUGUCCCAAAUCUAUGGAAUAUAAUCCUAGCGUCCAAAACACUUUCCCCACGCAGGCAACCCACACCCCAUCCCUCCAAACAAAUAUACCAAAAACACAACGACGACGACCAACAAGGCCAUCACUUUAACAUUCUUCCACCACAUCUGCCGCCUCAAUCCACGACUUCGAACACGGAAAUCCCGCGCGCUGCCCCCC
rnacentral:sRNA from 1 species